rnacentral:misc_RNA from 1 species
UUUCCGUAGGUGAACCUGCGGAAGGAUCAUUACAGUUGGGGCCCCGCCCCGAUCAAGAUACCACCCCUUGCUUUUUGAGUACCUCUGUUUCCUCGGCGGGCUCGCCCGCCAACGGGGACCACAAAGAAACCUCUUGCAGUUGCAGUAAACGUCAUAAAUCAAAACAAAAAUCAAAACUUUCAACAACGGAUCUCUUGGUUCUGGCAUCGAUGAAGAACGCAGC